ensembl:snRNA U7 U7 small nuclear RNA
GAGAGUUACAACUUUGAGAAUUUGUCUAGCAGGUUUUCCAGUUUUUACUGGAAAGCCCUA